rnacentral:rRNA from 1 species
GAUGAACGCUGGCGGCGUGCCUAAUACAUGCAAGUCGAGCGAACGGACGAGAAGCUUGCUUUUCUGAUGUUAGCGGCGGACGGGUGAGUAACACGUGGAUAACCUACCUAUAGGACUGGGAUAACUUCGGGAAACCGGAGCUAAUACCGGAUAAUAUUUUGAACCGCAUGGUUCAAAAGUGAAAGACGGUCUUGCUGUCACUUAUAGAUGGAUCCGCGCUGCAUUAGCUAGUUGGUAAGGUAACGGCUUACCAAGGCAACGAUGCAUAGCCGACCUGAGAGGGUGAUCGGCCACACUGGAACUGAGACACGGUCCAGACUCCUACGGGAGGCAGCAGUAGGGAAUCUUCCGCAAUGGGCGAAAGCCUGACGGAGCAACGCCGCGUGAGUGAUGAAGGUCUUCGGAUCGUAAAACUCUGUUAUUAGGGAAUAACAUAUGUGUAAGUAACUGUGCACAUCUUGACGGUACCUAAUCAGAAAGCCACGGCUAACUACGUG